rnacentral:lncRNA from 1 species
AAAAAAGGAGGAAAAAGGAAGGAGAGAGUUUAGUCAAAAGGAGGGGAACAUGUGGAACUAGCGCGGAAAGCAAAGGAGAGAGUAGGAAAAAGAGAGGGGAGCGUAAAGAAGAGAAUAAAAUAAGGGAGAGAGACUAGCGCGGAAUGCAAGAGAGGAAAAGGGAAGAACAAAAUACAGAGUGAGCGGAGCUGCUAAGGGCCCAUUUGAUAACACUCCCGUGAACAACUGAUUCCACUCUUUUAUUUUCGGGAAUAAAAAAA